CAAGACCGAAAAGCGUGGCAGUCCCAGGACAGCCAUGAAAACCAUAUGUGAAUUAAUGAGUGAGCAGAUUGGAGCAGUUCCAAUUUGCAGGCUUCAGAUUCAGCUUCUGUUUCCUGAGUGCCUCCACUAUCAAGCCAUUGGGCCAGGCAUCCAGAAGCCCUAAGGCAGACCUCAUCAUCCCUGUUCUACAGGAAAGGAAAACCAAGACUUGGCUACUACAGUAUACAAAGGGUGUGAAAAAGUCCUCCUAGAACCCUUACCCUGCUUCCAGGAGGAGCUGGACAGUCCUUUCCGAGUCCAGGCAGAAAGGAGUCUCCUCUUUUUCCAUUCUCUUUGUUACUUUAUAUGCCUGUGCAGGCUUGGUU
rnacentral:lncRNA from 1 species